CGAACGCUGGCGGUGCGCCUUAUGCAUGCAAGUUGAGCGAAGCUUUUUGGUAGUUUACUACUAGAAAUGACUGAGCGGCGAACGGGUGAGUAACGCGUGAGCAAUCUACCUUAGUUACUGGGAUAGCCCGAGGAAACUCGGAUUAAUACCGGAUAUUCUUAUUUUUUCACAUGAAGUUUUAAGGAAAGGUCAGCCGAACUAAGAUGAGCUCGCGUUCUAUCAGCUAGUUGGUGGGGUAAAAGCCUACCAAGGCUACGACGGAUAGCUGGUCUGAGAGGACGAUCAGCCACACUGGGACUGAGACACGGCCCAGACUCCUACGGGAGGCUGCAGCAGGGAAUAUUGUGCAAUGAGCGAAAGCUUGACACAGCGACACCGCGUGUGGGAUGACGGUUCUAGGAUUGUAAACCACUUUCAGGAGGGAAGAAAAUGACGGUACCUCCACAAGAAGACCCGGCCA
rnacentral:rRNA from 1 species